UUCAGAUGGGGUGAAAUGGUCUGAGAAACCAAGUUUCGUAUUUUAGGGUCAUUUUAAUUUGACUGGAUAGUAUUUUUUCGUAUAUUUGCAAUUUAAAUUGUAGAAUUUAAAAAUAAACAAAGAAUAUGGAUUCUAUUUGUAAAAUAAAAAAUAUUUGUUGAAUUUGGUGGAUUCCAAGGCUAAUUGACUAUAUGAGCAAAUGACUUGUAAUCCUUCCACCGUUGAGAGUGAGAGGUAAUCGCUGCUCUGUGAAACCAGCCUCACGCAUUACCCUCAAGUUUAGGGAGAAUAUGAUUCAAGCGUUAGCCUGAAACAAAACAUCCACUGCCCAACUUGGAAACGGGCAAAUCAAAGCUACCUCAUAAUGUAAACCUUCAAUUCAAUACCAAAUUAUUCAAAUACCUUAAUGCUCCACUUGGUGACAAGCCCACGUUACCAAGCUCAGCGAUUGAUUUGUAGAUUUCUUGUAUAUAAACAACAAAGCUUUUUUAAUUUCUUCGAUGUGGGAUUAUUUCUUAUAGUAUUAUUUUGUUAUAUAAGUUAAAAAUAAAAAUCUUCAGAUGGGGUGAAAUGGUCUGAGAAACCAAGUUUCGUAUUUUAGGGUCAUUUUAAUUUGACUGGAUAGUAUUUUUUCGUAUAUUUGCAAUUUAAAUUGUAGAAUUUAAAAAUAAACAAAGAAUAUGGAUUCUAUUUAUAAAAUAAAAAAUAUUUGUUGAAUUUGGUGGAUUCCAAGGCUAAUUGACUAUAUGAGCAAAUGACUUGUAAUCCUUCCACCGUUGAGAGUGAGAGGUAAUCGCUGCUCUGUGAAACCAGCCUCAUGCAUUACCCUCAAAUUCAGGGAGAAUAUGAUUCAAGCGUUAGCCUGAAACAAAACAUCCACUGCCCAACUUGGAAACGGGCAAAUCAAAGCUACCUCAUAAUGUAAACCUUCAAUUCAAUACCAAAUUAUUCAAAUACCUUAAUGCUCCACUUGGUGACAAGCCCACGUUACCGAGCUCAGCGAUUGAUUUGUAGAUUUCUUGUAUAUAAACAACAAAGCUUUUUUAAUUUCUUCGAUGUGGGAUUAUUUCUUAUAGUAUUAUUUUGUUAUAUAAGUUAAAAAAAAAUCUUCUGAUGGGGUGAAAUGGUCUGAGAAACCAAGUUUCGUAUUUUAGGGUCAUUUUAAUUUGACUGGAUAGUAUUUUUUCGUAUAUUUGCAAUUUAAAUUGUAGAAUUUAAAAAUAAACAAAGAAUAUGGAUUCUAUUUAUAAAAUAAAAAAUAUUUGUUGAAUUUGGUGGAUUCCAAGGCUAAUUGACUAUAUGAGCAAAUGACUUGUAAUCCUUCCACCGUUGAGAGUGAGAGGUAAUCGCUGCUCUGUGAAACCAGCCUCACGCAUUACCCUCAAGUUUAGGGAGAAUAUGAUUCAAGCGUUAGCCUGAAACAAAACAUCCACUGCCCAACUUGGAAACGGGCAAAUCAAAGCUAGCUCAUAAUGUAAACCUUGAAUUCAAUACCAAAUUAUUCAAAUACCUUAAUGCUCCACUUGGUGACAAGCCUACGUUACCGAGCUCAGCGAUUGAUUUGUAGAUUUCUUGUAUAUAAACAACAAAGCAUUUUUAAUUUCUUCGAUGUGGGAUUAUUUCUUAUAGUAUUAUUUUGUUAUAUAAGUUAAAAAUAAAAAUCUUCAGAUGGGGUGAAAUGGUCUGAGAAACCAAGUUUCGUAUUUUAGGGUCAUUUUAAUUUGACUGGAUAGUAUUUUUUCGUAUAUUUGCAAUUUAAAUUGUAGAAUUUAAAAAUAAACAAAGAAUAUGGAUUCUAUUUAUAAAAUAAAAAAUAUUUGUUGAAUUUGGUGGAUUCCAAGGCUAAUUGACUAUAUGAGCAAAUGACUUGUAAUCCUUCCACCGUUGAGAGUGAGAGGUAAUCGCUGCUCUGUGAAACCAGCCUCACGCAUUACCCUCAAGUUCAGGGAGAAUAUGAUUCAAGCGUUAGCCUGAAACAUAACAUCCACUGCCCAACUUGGAAACGGGCAAAUCAAAGCUAGCUCAUAAUGUAAACCUUGAAUUCAAUACCAAAUUAUUCAAAUACCUUAAUGCUCCACUUGGUGACAAGCCCACGUUACCGAGCUCAGCGAUUGAUUUGUAGAUUUCUUGUAUAUAAACAACAAAGCUUUUUUAAUUUCUUCGAUGUGGGAUUAUUUCUUAUAGUUUAUUUUGUUAUAUAAGUUAAAAAUAAAAAUCUUCAGAUGGGGUGAAAUGGUCUGAGAAACCAAGUUUCAUAUUUUAGGGUCAUUUUAAUUUGACUGGAUAGUAUUUUUUCGUAUAUUUGCAAUUUAAAUUGUAGAAUUUAAAAAUAAACAUAGAAUAUGGAUUCUAUUUAUAAAAUAAAAAAUAUUUGUUGAAUUUGGUGGAUUCCAAGGCUAAUUGACUAUAUGAGCAAAUGACUUGUAAUCCUUCCACCGUUGAGAGUGAGAGGUAAUCGCUGCUCUGUGAAACCAGCCUCACGCAUUACCCUCAAGUUUAGGGAGAAUAUGAUUCAAGCGUUGGCCUGAAACAUAGCAUCCACUGCCCAACUUGGAAACGGGCAAAUCCAAGUUAGCUCAUAAUGUAAACCUUGAAUUCAAUACCAAAUUAUUCAAAUACCUUAAUGCUCCACUUGGUGACAAGCCCACGUUACCGAGCCCAGCGAUUGAUUUGUAGAUUUCUUGUAUAUAAACAACAAAGCUUUUUUCAAUUUCUUCGAUGUGGGAUUAUUUCUUAUAGUGGUAUUUUGUUAUAUAAGUAUAAAAAAUAAAUCUUCAGAUGGGGUGAAAUGGUCUGAGAAACCAAGUUUCGUAUUUUAGGGUCAUUUUAAUUUGACUGGAUAGUAUUUUUUCGUAUAUUUGCAAUUUAAAUUGUAGAAUUGAAAAAUAAACAAAGAAUAUGGAUUCUAUUUAUAAAAUAAAAAAAUAAUUGUUGAAUUUGGUGGAUUCCAAGGCUAAUUGACAAUAUGAGCAAAUGACUUGUAAUCCUUCCACCGUUGAGAGAGAGAGGUAAUCGCUGCUCUGUGAAACCAGCCUCACGCAUUACCCUCAAGUUUAGGGAGAAUAUGAUUCAAGCGUUAGCUUGAAACAUAACAUCCACUGCCCAACUUGGAAUCGGGCAAAUUAAAGCUAGCUCAUAAUGUAAACCUUGAAUUCAAUACCAAAUUAUUCAAAUACCUUAAUACUCCACUUGGUAAGAAGCCCACGUUACCGAGCUCAGCGAUUGAUUUGUAGAUUUCUUGUAUAUAAACAACAAAGCUUUUUUCAAUUUCUUUUGAUGUGGGAUUAUUUCUUAUAGUGGUAUUUUGUUAUAUAAGUUUAAAAAAAAAAUCUUCAGAUGGGGUGAUAUGGUCAGAGAAACCAAUUUUCCUAUUUUAGGGUCAUUUUGUAUAUUUGCAAUUUAAAUUGUUGAAUUGAAAAAUAAACAAAGAAUAUAGAUUCUAUUUAUAAAAUAAAAAAUAUUUGUUGAAUUUGGUGGAUUCCAAGGCUAAUUGACUAUAUGAGCAAAUGACUUGUAAUCCUUCCACCGUUGAGAGUGAGAGGUAAUCGCUGCUCUGUGAAACCAGCCUCACGCAUUACCCUCAAGUUUAGGGAGAAUAUGAUUCAAGCGUUAGCCUGAAACAUAACAUCCACUGCUCAACUUGGAAACGGGCAAAUCAAAGCUAGCUCAUAAUGUCAACCUUGAAUUCAAUCCCAAAUUAUUCAAAUACCUU
rnacentral:lncRNA from 1 species